UGCUGUCCCGGUAAUCCCAUUUAGACAGUUAAAGAAUCCGCUUCAGUCAGCAGGUGAGGCAGCGCGUGCGGAUCAGGUUCCCUGCUGAGAUGGCCGGACGGGACCGAGUCGUUCACCUGCUCACACAGCUCGCGAGCGCGGCGUGCAGAUGUCCCGCUCACUCCAACACCUUCCACCAAGGUGUUGGAGCUGCAUCCUGCUCCAACAGGAAGACCGACUACGCCUUCGAGGUAACACACAC